AGAUGACUGGAUAAAGAAGAUACGGUAACAAAAAUCUUUGGAGGCCAAGUGCUGCUCUAAACUGGCAUUGGUUCUAGCUCGGCUCUUAUAGACCUAUCACAAACUGGCAGUUUGCUUAUGGCAUGAGUGCUAGAGGAGGCUGGUUGAGAAAAAUUUUAGAGGAUGAACGCAAGUCAAUGAUUUCUACAAAAAAUACUGAUGCUGAGAGUAAUAGAUAGCCUCUGGCUCAUCUGAAUUUACAGGUUCGGCCUCCGCUUCUUCUCCUUCUCCUGGCAGAGGGUUAUCAACUGUGCUGCACUCAGAGGAACUUGACCGAUUCAAUCUCUAAAAAGAAAUUCACCACCCCACCAGACAGUUCAUUUAGGGGUCAUUCAAAUCUUAUAUUCAAGCCAUAUUCAAUAAUCAAAGUCAUGCAAAGUGUUAUGAAAAAAGAUUAACAGUAUGAUGGCCAUAAAAACGUAUAAACACAUAUUGAGGUCAGGUAACCUUAUAAUACA